AAAGUGGAUCAAGCGAUCGCUCCUCCCAAGCAUCACGCUUGUGAGGGGAGGAAAGUCCGGACUCCGCAGGACAGGGUGGCCGCUAACGGCGGCCCCGAGUGAUCGGGGGAAAGUACCACAGAAAAAAUACCGCCCGUCGUUAUACGCGGGUAAGGUUGAAAAGGCGAGGUAAGAGCUCACCGGUUCAUCAGUGAUGAUGGACGCUUGGCAAACCCCACCUGAAGCAAGACCAAAUAGGAGGGUUGGGUGGUCCGCCCAUCUCCCUCGGGUAAGGUCGCUCGACCCCAGAAGCAAUUCUGGGGCAAGAUGAAUGAUCGCUGUGACUUCUUUUGGAGGUCAUUACAGAAUCCGGCUUAUCGAUCCACUUUAGCC
rnacentral:RNase_P_RNA from 1 species